UNUGACUUGAGUGCAGAAGGGGAGAGUGGAAUUCCAUGUGUAGCGGUGAAAUGCGUAGAUAUAUGGAGGAACACCAGUGGCGAAAGCGGCUCUCUGGUCUGUCACUGACGCUGAGGCUCGAAAGCGUGGGUAGCGAACAGGAUUAGAUACCCUGGUAGUNCACGCCGUAAACGAUGAGUGCUAGGUGUUAGGCCCUUUCCGGGGCUUAGUGCCGGAGCUAACGCAAUAAGCACUCCGCCUGGGGAGUACGACCGCAAGGUUGAAACUCAAAGGAAUUGACGGGGGCCCGCACAAGCGGUGGAGCAUGUGGUUUAAUUCGAAGCAACGCGAAGAACCUUACCAGGUCUUGACAUCCCGAUGCUAUUCUUAGAGAUAGGAAGUUACUUCGGUACAUCGGAGACAGGUGGUGCAUGGUUGUCGUCAGCUCGUGUCGUGAGAUGUUGGGUUAAGUCCCGCAACGAGCGCAACCCUUAUUGUUAGUUGCCAUCAUUAAGUUGGGCACUCUAGCGAGACUGCCGGUAAUAAACCGGAGGAAGGUGGGGAUGACGUCAAAUCAUCAUGCCCCUUAUGACCUGGGCUACACACGUGCUACAAUGGUCGGUACAACGAGUUGCGAGCCGGUGACGGCAAGCUAAUCUCUGAAAGCCGAUCUCAGUUCGGAUUGGAGGCUGCAACUCGCCUCCAUGAAGUCGGAAUCGCUAGUAAUCGCGGAUCAGCACGCCGCGGUGAAUACGUUCCCGGGCCUUGUACACACCGCCCGUCACACCACGAGAGUUUGUAACACCCGAAGUCG
rnacentral:rRNA from 1 species